AAUAGUUUAUUCGCUGGAAUGUGGGAAGUAGGUCUUAUAUUAAUUGAGUCACCUUACACAUUCUACCAGGUCCUGGUGUGCAAAUUUUUAGUGAAUCUUUAUGGUACAAUAUUCUAACUACCU